rnacentral:rRNA from 1 species
AUACGGAGGAUGCGAGCGUUAUCCGGAUUUAUUGGGUUUAAGGGAGCGUAGGCGGGAGCUUAAGUCAGCGGUUAAAUGGUGCGGCUCAACCGUGCCCUGCCGUUGAAACUGGGUUUCUUGAGAGCGCAAGAGGCGGAUGGAAUUCCUGGUGUAGCGGGGAAAUGCUUAGAUAUCAUGAAGAACUCCGAUUGCGAAGGCAGUCCGCUGGGGCACGUCUGACGCUGAUGCUCGAAGGUGCGGGAAUCAAACAGGAUUAGAUACCCUGGUAGUCCGCACGGUAAACGAUGAUUACCCGCUGUCGGCGGCAGACAGUCGGCGGCCAAGCGAAAGCGAUAAGUAAUCCACCUGGGGAGUACGCCGGCAACGGUGAAACUUAGAGGAAUUGACGGGG